rnacentral:rRNA from 1 species
AUAUCAAUAAGCGGAGGAAAAGAAACUAACAAGGAUUCCCCUAGUAACUGCGAGUGAAGCGGGAAAAGCUCAAAUUUUGAAUCUGGCAGUCGUUUGGCUGUCCGAGUUGUAAUCUAGAGAAGCGUCUUCCGCGCUGGCCCGUGUACAAGUCUCCUGGAAGGGAGCGUCAUAGAGGGUGAGAAUCCCGUCUUUGACACGGACUACCAGGGCUUUGUGAUGCGCUCUCGGCGAGUCGAGUUGUUUGGGAAUGCAGCUCAAAAUGGGUGGUAAAUUCCAUCUAAAGCUAAAUAUAGGCGAGAGACCGAUAGCGAACAAGUACCGUGAGGGAAAGAUGAAAAGAACUUUGGAAAGAGAGUUAAACAGUAC